rnacentral:tRNA from 1 species
GGAUUGUGGCUCAGCGGUAGAGCACUUGCCUAGCACAUGCGAGGCCCUGGGUUCAAUCUUCAGCACCA